rnacentral:antisense_RNA from 1 species
CUUCACCGACCCCAGCCAUAGCGGCUGCGCGCGCCCCUGGCCGUAGGUCGCCAAUAACGCCUGCGCCUC